rnacentral:rRNA from 1 species
GGGCCUCUUGCCAUCAGAUGUGCCCAGAUGGGAUUAGCUUGUUGGUGAGGUAACGGCUCACCAAGGCGACGAUCCCUAGCUGGUCUGAGAGGAUGACCAGCCACACUGGAACUGAGACACGGUCCAGACUCCUACGGGAGGCAGCAGUGGGGAAUAUUGCACAAUGGGCGCAAGCCUGAUGCAGCCAUGCCGCGUGUAUGAAGAAGGCCUUCGGGUUGUAAAGUACUUUCAGCGGGGAGGAAGGUGUUGUGGUUAAUAACCGCAGCAAUUGACGUUACCCGCAGAAGAAGCACCGGCUAACUCCGUGCCAGCAGCCGCGGUAAUACGGAGGGUGCAAGCGUUAAUCGGAAUUACUGGGCGUAAAGCGCACGCAGGCGGUCUGUCAAGUCGGAUGUGAAAUCCCCGGGCUCAAC